rnacentral:tRNA from 1 species
GCCGCUAUCGUCUAGGGGUUAGGACGGAUGAUUCUCAGUCAUCAAACCGGGGUUCGAUUCCCCGUAGCGGUACCA